rnacentral:Y_RNA from 1 species
GGCUGGUCUGACGGUAGUGAGUUAGUGAGUUAACUCAAUUGACUGUUCACAGUCAGUAACAGAUCAAACUCCUUAUUCUAUACUCUCUCCCCUUUUCACUACUGCUCUUGACUGGUCUUAA